AAAAUCGCGGCCCCCCCGGGGCCUCGAAUUGUAUUCUGGAGAAUCGUCCUCUGCCUAGACCAGACCCAAGUUCCAUGGAACGGGACGUCCGAUAGGGUGACAACCCCGUCUAGUCUGGACCCCGAUGCUCCACGAGGCGCUGUCUAAGAGUCGGGCUGUUUGGGAAUGCAGCCCUAAGUGGGUGGUAAAUUCCAUCUAAGGCUAAAUAUUGGCAAGAGACCGAUAGCGAACAAGUACCGCGAGGGAAAGAUGAAAAGGACUUUGAAAAGAGAGUUAAAAAGUGCUUGAAAUUGCUGGGAGGGAAGCGAAUGGAAGCUGCGGGUGUGCCCCGGUUGGAUGUGGAACGGCCUUUAACAAGCUGGUCUGCCGCUCAACGCGGGGCACUGGUCAGCGUGGGCCACCAUUCCCACGGGACAACAGGGGGAUUUUGUUUUCCCCCCUAUGCCGUUGGGGUGGCCGAGGAACGAAGCGCGCGCCCCCACCCCGGUGGGGGCGUGGGGUACCUGUACCCCAACUGCGCGCUCGAGACGCUGGCGUAUUGAGCUCUUCAUCCGACCCGUCUUGAAACACGGACCAAGGAGUCUAACAUGUAUGCGAGCCGGUGGGCGGCAAACCCAUUGAGGCGCAAGUAAACUGACA
rnacentral:rRNA from 1 species